rnacentral:tRNA from 1 species
AAUAUAGUGCCUGAUUUAAAAGGAAAGCUUUGAUAGAGCUGAUCGUGUAAUUCCUAUUACAUAUAUUA